UCCCUGGUGGUCCAGUGGUUAAGACUUUGCCUUCCAAUGCAGGGGGUGCAGGUUCAAUCCCUGGUCAGGGAA
rnacentral:tRNA from 1 species